GUUAGGUUAGUUUAUAAAAAUAUUAGUUUGUGGCACUAAAGAUAAGAUUUUUCUUACCUAACC
rnacentral:tRNA from 1 species